rnacentral:lncRNA from 1 species
UUGGCAGGAAAUGGGGAACUGGCUCAUUGACCUUCAGUGAGGCAUCAUAGUGGGUGAGCUUUGCAAGUCAUCACCUGACCCUGACUUUGCCUCAAGGAUGCUCUGUGUAGGUCCACAUCAAGUUCUAGAGGGAGAACUAAGAAUAAAAGAAAGAUACCUCCUUGUGGAAGGAUCUGGAUGGUGGCCGGAAGAGGAUUCCCCAGAGAGCAUCUAGCCUGGGUCCCAGUGGCAACAGAUGCUGGAGAGGUGAGGCAUCCCCAUGCUGCUGCCCAAUUGGCUGUCCCCCAAGCUCCUUCUGUGGUGGCAAUUCUUUGAUCACACUGACACUUGCUCUGAAGAUAUCUACUCCACUCAAGGUGGCCUUCUCACCUCUGGAAGGAGGCCAGGAAAGCUGCAGUUUUCGCCUCAUAUCAGGUACUCAAGUUUUUUUCAGAGGUUAUGAAGAGUUUCCCAUCCAGCAGCAUGUAGCCCAAUUUCCCAGGAAGAAGCAGGCCCUUCUCAUCCUGGAUUAAACAGAACCCUCUGUAGCAGAUGCAGUGGCUUC